CGUCGGGUGGGCGUCCGCGCGCCCCACGACGAGGAUCUGCGCGCCAGCGUCGUCUUCAACCAGCUGGCGAUCGCCCAGCUGCUCGACAACGUCAGCAACAUCUCUCGUGGCCACGACACAGUGACGACGCAGCUGGCGCCAGUUAUCCCGCAGCCACACAGCGCAGACGCAGCAGCUGAGUGAAGGCCUCGCUCGAGUGACAUCCAGCGUCGACAUCCUCUCCAGCUCUGACGUCACACCUACAGAUGGAUGACGUCAU